GGAGAGAUGGCUGAGCGGUCGAAAGCGAUAGUCUUGAAAACUAUUGUCCCUUCACGGGGACCCAGGGUUCGAAUCCCUGUCUCUCCGCCA
rnacentral:tRNA from 1 species